rnacentral:tRNA from 1 species
GGGCUUCUUGGUGUGUGGCGGACUCAGGAGGAUUCGAACCUCCGACCGCUCGGUUCGUAGCCGAGUACUCUA